UUUUUUUUUUUUUUUUUAGCUGUGAUGAACAUUUACAAUCAGUUGACUUUAAGCAGAUUGGUCUACAUAGUGUGGGUGGGCCUCAUCCAAUCAGUUGAAGGCCUUAGGAGCAAAGCUUGACGCUUCCUAAAGAAAAAGGAAAUCUGUCUUGAGACUGCCACACAGAAAUCCCAACCUUCACACCCAACUCUUACCUGAAAUUCCCCACUGCCAAUUUGCCCUAUGGAUUUCAGACUUGCCGGAUCCACAGUCACAUCAACCAAUUCCUUAAAAUAAAUCAAUCUUCCACUCACUCACUUGCUCUCGCUCUCUCCAUCUAUUUAUACAUAUCCCAUUGCUUUUGGUUUUCGGCAAAACAAGAGAGAACCCUGACUAAUAUAAAGAGGGGAAAAAAGCAGAGCCAGGACAUGACUUCAGCAAGUUUGGCUUCAGCCCAGUGCCGUGACAGCCUCUGGAGUGUAACCUGCACAAAGUUAGCCUUGCCUCAAGGCAAAGGACUUGGGUUUUGUACAUCCACAUCCAUCCCUGGUCAGUCCUCCAGAGAAGGUUGUGGGUACCAGUUACACACAUACUUCAGCUACUGAGAAUGUCUGUUUUCUGUCUAUUUGUUAAGGUCAUAGCAUUUAAAUUCCAGAGGGUAACAGAGACUUCUAGGAUGAAUAAUGUAUAAUUUCUGCAUCAUCCAAUGACAAACUAGAAGGGAUUUCUUUCAUUAUAAAACUACCUGGGAGGCCGGGGUGAUUCCUGUUGUGGCUCAGCGGGUUAAGGACCUGACGUUGUCUCAGUGAGGAUGCAGGUUCAAUCCCUGGCCUUUGUGAGUUAAGAAGCCAGCGUUGCCUUAAGCUAGUACAUAGGUUGCAAAUGUGCCUCUCAGAGCCACUGUGGCUGUGGCUGUGGCUAUGGCUGUGGUGUAGGCCAGAGACUACAGCUCCGAUUCGACCUCUAGCCUGGGAACUUCCAUAUGCUGUGGGUGUGGCCCUAAAAAGCAAAAAAAAAAGGGGGGGGGGAUCAACAAGUUGCUAAUGCUGCUCAUUCUUCACCUUGAUCAUGUGUUGGGGAGUCUGGAAUUGUUGCAGGGUAGAGACUGUCCCCUGUAAAUAACUACCAUCACCAGACCUGCCACCAAGGCCCAAAGAGCAGAGAGGACAAUGGACAAGGACUUGUAGAUCAUGUGCUAAGAUACCCCUCAACUGCUGAUCUGACUGCACGAGAACCCUCCUAAGCAGUUCCUCGGUGCCGGGUGGCAUGGAUUUCACCACCGAUACCUCCCCAAGGGUGUCAGAGCCAUACUGAGAAAGUAAUCA
rnacentral:lncRNA from 1 species